rnacentral:piRNA from 1 species
UACAGAGCAGUAUAGCUCUUCAAAGGAAC